rnacentral:rRNA from 1 species
GACGAACGCUGGCGGCGUGCUUAACACAUGCAAGUCGAACGGACAGGCCCUGCUUUUGUUGGUUGCUCGAGUGGCGAACGGGUGAGUAACACGCGAGUAACCUGCCCUUGACUUUGUGAUAACUUCAGGAAACUGGGGCUAAUACCCGAUAUAAGCUCCUGCUGCAUGGUGGUGGUUGGAAAGUUUCGGUGGUUGGGGCUGGACUCGCGGCUUAUCAGCUUGUUGGUCGAGUAGUUGCUUACCAAGGGUUUGACGGGUAGCCUGCAUGAGAGGGUGACCGGCCACAUUGGGACUGAGAGACGGCGCAGAAUGCUACGGGAGGCAGCAGGGGGGAAUAUUACACAACGGGCGGAAGCCUGAUGCAGAAAUGCCGCGUGCGGGAUGACGGCCUACGGGGUGUAAACAGAUUUCGACUGUGAUGAAGAGGGAGUGACGGUAAUGGGUAAAGAAGCAACGGCUAACUACGUG